rnacentral:rRNA from 1 species
CCUGACUGCUAUCGGAUUGAUACUAAGCCAUGCGAGUCAUUGUAGUAAUACAAGGCAGACGGCUCAGUAACGCGUAGUCAACCUAACCUAUGGACGGGAAUAACCUCGGGAAACUGAGAAUAAUGCCCGAUAGAACAUUAUGCCUGGAAUGGUUUAUGUUCCAAACGAUUUAUCGCCAUAGGGUGGGACUGCGGCCUAUCAGUUUGUUGGUGAGGUAAUGGCCCACCAAGACUAUUACAGGUACGGGCUCUGAGAGGAGUAGCCCGGAGAUGGGUACUGAGACACGGACCCAGGCCCUAUGGGGCGCAGCAGGCGAGAAAACUUUGCAAUGUGCGAAAGCACGACAAGGUUAAUCCGAGUGGUUUCUGCUAAGGGAACCUUUUGUCAGUCCUAAAAACACUAACGAAUAAGGGGUGGGCAAGUUCUGGUGUCAGCCGCCGCGGUAAAACCAGCACCUCAAGUGGUCAGGAUGAUUAUUGGGCCUAAAGCAUCCGUAGCCGGCUCUGUAAGUUUUCGGUUAAAUCUGUACGCUCAACGUACAGGCUGCCGGAAAUACUGCACAGCUAGGGAGUGGGAGAGGUAGACGGUACUCGGCAGGAAGGGGUAAAAUCCUUUGAUCUAUUGAUGCCCACCUGUGGCGAAGGCGGUCUACCAGAACACGUCCGACGGUGAGGGAUGAAAGCUGGGGGAGCAAACCGGAUUAGAUACCCGGGUAGUCCCAGCUGUAAACUAUGCAAACUCAGUGAUGCAUUGGCUUAUGGCCAAUGCAGUGCUGCAGGGAAGCCGUUAAGUUUGCCGCCUGGGAAGUACGUACGCAAGUAUGAAACUUAAAGGAAUUGGCGGGGGAGCACCACAGGGGUGAGCCUGCGUC